rnacentral:ncRNA from 1 species
AGAAGCGCCUGGUCCUGUAACGGGAAAAUACUUUACAGGAUGACGAGGAGAGGGGAGUAUCGAAGCAUUCGGCGGAUGCCCCUCCGCGCCCGCGGGCGCGAAACACGGUCUGGAAAACGCGCGGGCAACCGCGGAACAAAGGGAU